ensembl:lncRNA
CCCUGGGUGCUCAGGGUUGGGUGGGGAAAAUACGUGGAAUCACGGGAGAGGCGAUCAGCCUGGCGGACUGGAGGGUGCCUGGGCCCAUGGCAUCCUGAACAUUGGACUUGAACUCCAGCAACCUUGGGUAUAGGAUGUGCCCACUCCACACACUUCUGGAGCACAAGACUAAUAUCAUUGGUGUCUCUGGCCUUUGGUUACCUGGGGGCCCUACUGGAUACCACCUGUCAUCUCAGCUUGAGGAGUGCCAGGGAACACUGCAGAUGUUCAGCACCCUCCCAGCGCUCGGUUCCCAAGGUGCCCUUCCUUUCCUGUGGUCUGCUGUUCUUCGCUCAGCCGCCUGCCAUCUUCCCUGAAACGCGGUUCUGAUGGGUGACUCAUGGAGUUAUUUUCAAAUUUUCUGGAUUCAACUUUAGUAAGACUCGACGUGGGUAACGGUGCCUGCUUUCUAUGGUCUUAAUAAUCGAGUCAGAUUAAAAAGCAAAUUCACCUUCUGGCUACCAGUUAAAACCAUCCCUUGCCUGCAUGUCUGCUAGACUAUAAGCUCCCUGGGGGCAGGGACUCUAUCAGUCUUGCACACCCUCCAGCCUCCAGAGCAGUGUCUGCAUGUGGCAGAAGUCUGUUCUUUUUUUUUUUUUAAAGAUUUUAUUUUAUUUUUCCUUUUUCUCCCCAAAGCCCUCAGGUACAUAGUUGUAUAUUCUUAGGUGUGGGUCCUUCUAGUUGUGGCAUGUGGGAUCCCGCCUCAGCAUGGCUCGAUGAGCAGGAUUCGAACUGACGAAACACUGGGCUGCCUGCAGUGGAGCACGUGAACUUAACCACUCGGCCACAGGGUCGGCCCCUAGAAGUCUGUUCUGCCGGCCUCUCUGCUGACAGGUUGCUCCAGCUCUUCGCUUCCUCCCACUCGCCCAUCACUACCCAUCAUGGUGGUGGGCUGGCUGGGGCAGGCUCGAGGGGACAGAAAGAGACAGUGGCAGGAACAGGCUGCAGCUGUGUUAUCUGUAGGGCAAAGGGGCCAAGUGGGCUCUGAGAAGGGAGCUCAGCUUGAACUGGACACGUAGUGCCAGAAAGUGAGUCAUUGCUCCUAACAAGGCCCUCAGAGGUGUUAGAGAGAUCGUCCAAGGGAGGGAACAGAGACCUGACAUAGGUAGUACAGCUGAAGUCAUAGUUAGAGAAAAAAUAGCCUUUCUGGAUUGUUCCCCUAGGCUAUAAUUUGGGCCUGAGAAAAAUCUCUACUGUUUACCUUGUGAUUUCUUUGGAGCCCCUGUGGCCGGGCUGGGAUGAGGCCUUGUGGGUGAUGUCUGCUGCUCGCCAAGCCCAGCUCCUUCACAGAGGCAGCAGCUCCCAGACAAGCCUGCUGACAUCCCACUUCCCACUGACUCUGAGCUGCCCACCAGGGCCUCGGGACCGCACACCGUGAAUGCAAACCGUACAGGUGGGAGGAGCAGCAGGGCCUGAGUGGAGUUCUGGAGACGGGUGUGACGAGGUUGAGGGGGAAGACCUUGGCCAGGCCUCCAUGCCGGGUCAGCCACCUGGAUGUGGAGGCAAGAAAGGAAACUCUUCAAUCUCUAGAGGUAAAUCAUCCAAGGCGUGAAUUCCCCAGGCUUUUUGAGAGAAAAGGUCUCCACUAGCAGCCUCAUCACAGGCUGUUUCUGGAAAUCCAGGCCAAACCAGCCCUCAGUCCCCCAGGCUGCUGGCUGAGCCCUCACCCGGACCUGCGGCUUCUUUUUAGGAUUCCCGCCAUUGGACAGCUCAUUGUCUGUAUACAUUCUGCUUCACCCCAGCCAACGCUUGGCCUCCUUUUAAAAGAGGCCUGCCAGUUUGAAUAUCCUUUUGGCAGAAGAGGUGGGGACUUUCAUUUUUCCACCCAUGGGCUUCACGUCAAUUCCCUGCCCGAGGCUGGCAGCCUCACCAGCCAGCCAGAACCCAGCUCUCCCGGAGGACAGAGGAAAUAUUUUCCCUGGACAAGAUGCACAAGAAGGGCUUUUCCAGCAGGGUCCAAGUUCCUAAGCUCCGUGCCAUAAACUACCCCCGCAUCAUUGAUGCUGGCCUUUCCAUCAGCCCAGCAGAGACCUAGCGGAGCUGCAGGGGAAUGAGGAGGAGCCAAGCCUCAGAGGAAAAGAAGUGGAAUCGAUUCUUCCUCUACACAUGGAUAUCAUUAGAUCUUGGGUGGAUUUGCUCCUGUCCCUUAUUGUGAAAGAUCUUGUCAAGACCUUGAAGAGACAAAUCGCUAGGGUCCUGGUGCCGGGGGUCCCCUGACCCAGGGGGAGUAAAUCAUGCCUGAUAUUUGUUGAGGGCCUUACAGUUUGCCAGGACAGUUUCUCCGGUGACCUGGACAGUGCUGACAGUGGGCACGGGCUUAUAACCGUCCCACGAUGCGGAUGCCUCCCCGGCCACACCCUCCCUGUGCGGGAGCUCUUAGCCCCUCGCCCACACCUGCUCAGCUCCCUGAGGAACCCUCUGGUUCGCCUUCUUCAGUUUGCCAGGUCCUCAGCCCUCUGCUGGAUUUCCUGGUUUCUCCCCACCACCAUAUGUGUCUUUUCCCCACUUUAAAUUCCUUGGCUCUUGGAUUUCCUGCGAGAGCCGCAGGCCCUGAGUCUCCCCAGGGUCUCCCUUCUCCUGCCUCUGGGCUGCUGAGCAGAGCUGGGGCGGCCCCUUGUCCCUCCCCUUUUUUACGUCUCUUAGGGAAGCCCAGCCUUCUUUCCAACGGCAGCUGGGUCACUUCGUGUCCCUUCGUAACCCUCCCACCCCACUGCAGCCUUCUGUCCACAGGACUUUCCUCUGGCAUUUCUGGGCAUGGAGGCCCCUGCCUGGCCUCAGCCCUCCUCAACUCCUCUCGCUGUCUCUGUCACUUAUGAUGUGAUGUGGGCAAGCGUCCAACUUCUCUGUGACAUGCUUUCCUCAUCUGUAAAGUGGGAUGAUGAUCGUGCUUCCUCCAGGGCUCUUGUCAGGACUCAGUCGUCAGCAGCGGACGGGGCCUGGCCCACAGUAACUGCUCUGUGAACGAGAGCCACUUUAUGCUGGCCCCUUUGGAGACAGGAUCAUCUGUUCAAAGCUGGUCCUCCUCAUAAGCUCUUAAGCUUAUCCCUUCCCCCAAGAGGACCAGCUUCUCCCCACCCCCACAGGACAAAAUCCAAGCUUUUCGGUGUGGCUUCAGUCCCUUCACAGUUCCCCCCCAGCCUCAGACCUGAGACCCUGCCCCACCCCCCUCCACAACUGGCUGCCUGCCGUACACUGUAUGUUCUUUUGUCACUCGGUGCCCCUGCUUGUGUAGCUUGCAUCACUUCUCUUUUUUUUGUCAUUCCUCCCACCCCAAAGUAAACCAAAACAAUGCUUCCUUCUUUCUAUUCAAAUAACACAGCAGUUGCCUAUUGCCACAGAAUACCACGUAAAAACAGCACCAGGAUCCCACGGCUUAGAGCAGUACGUGCUGACUUAGCUCAUCAGCCUGUGGAGCAGGGAUCUGUGGUCUCAGCAGGACAGUUCAGUCUUGGACUUACUCACAUGUCUGCAGUCAGGUGGCAUCGGGGCAUCAGGGUGACCAGAGCACAUGUCUCUCCUACAAUAGGUCCUACAGAACCAGAGGCUGGCCUGGAACAUUCUUAUGACAGGUGGGGCAGAGAACAAGCCCUGACAUGUGGGACUUUUCAACCCUCCAGUUGUGUCCGAUUGGCUAACACAAAGCAACUCCCCUGUCUGGUCCCUGAGUUAAAGGGGAGGCACUCCAAAGUGACAGGGCCAAGGGCCUGAUCAGGAAGGAGAAGAGUGGGGCCACGGAGCACUGAGUCUACCCCAGACAGCACAUUUUGCACAUCGCCAGGGCAGCACCCGUCUCUCAGGAGUGCAGUUGGUUGUUUAUGCACCUGCCCCCUGCAGGGGCAGGAGCUGCGUCUUAUUCACUAUUGCAUCUCCAGUGCUUAGCACAGUGCUGGCCACAGAAAGUGCUCACCGGUAGUUACUGAAUUGAAUUUCUCCUCCCAUCUCAGUCUCGGUCUCCAAGAGCUCGUUAUGCUCUACUUUCAAACAGAUGUCCUGCCUCCUCUUUAAUCCAGUGCCUUCCCUUGUCCCUGCUCUCCACUCGGAGCUCCCCACUGACUAACCUCAUGCCCCUCACUGUCAAGUUGCUUGAUUGCACAGUCUAUAAUAAAUAACCAUUCUUCCUAUGCCCUUACCCACCCAUAACUGAGCCUUUGAAAGCCACUGGUCACCUUUGACCACGUUCAAACUAUUCAUCAGUGCCUCAAAGCCUCUCUCACAUUUUAGUAGCAAAGAGUCAUCUCUUCUUCAAAACGUUCUCCUUAUGGCAGCACAGGCCAGUGAGCAGAGCUUGGCCUUUAGCUCAGAGACACUCAAAUCGUAUCCCAACUCAACACCUUUCAGUUGUGUGACUCUUGACCCAGGGGAGUGAAGAAUCAGCUUCAUUCUGAGGACAGUCUGCUUUCUUCUGAGACCUAACUAUUGGCCCGUUUUCACUUUUCACCUGUGACCUGCAGUCGAACUCCUUCUUUUCUGAAGAUCUAGAGGUUUUCUACAUUUCUAGAAGAUUUUGGACCCCAAGAAGAGGGAGAAGGGUUUGGGUUGAGGGGUUGCGUUUUUGUUCUGGACGUAGUGGCAGGAAAAGCAUAGCCUUUAGAUUCAAACAGACUAGGAUUCAGAUCCCUCUCUCCUCCAUCCAACAAAGCCCUGGGCCACAUGAUACUUCUCAUUUCUCUCUGACCAUCUCUCUCUCUCUCUUUUAAUUUGUCCUUCCUUCUGUGUCCUAAUAUCAGGCUCCAUUAAGGUUCUAUCCCCUUAGGUGUUCUCUUUUUACACUCAUUUUCUUGUAUAAGCUGGACUUUUCAAGGGCUUAUCUGAAUUGGUACCUUCCAUGUUCAAACUGCCAGCUCUGAAAUCUCCCUAGGGAUCCACUCCCACAUUCCCAUUUCCUGUCAGGAUGUUUCUACACGGAUAUUCCAUAAUUAGCUCAAAUCUCAAACGGAAACAGGCUCCUCAUGCCAAUUUACCCAUUUUUGUCAGCAGUGCCAUUUUCCCCUCUGUUUGAUGUUCACGCCUUGGCCACCUUUGUUCCCUCCUUCCUGUAAUGGCUUCUACUGUUUUCUCUUCCAUCAAGCUUUAGACUGGCUGCCACAUUUACUCCAGAAGGUUGUGGAGACACUAAUAAGAAAUCCCUUCUCUAUACUUUUUCCAUCCUCUUCCAAAGACAACAUUCCAGUUCCUGGAUUUACAGAGUGAGGAAAUGAGCCACGGAUUGGUUUUUAUUUGUCUGGGCCACAUCACCAGCAAGGCUGUGGGCAGUGCCUUGACAGCUAAGAUGUGAGGAGGAGGAAGAGAGAGGCUGAGAAACAAAAUUCUCUACGAUUCCUUUCUUCCUCUUUGAGAAUGAAAAGUAGUAUCAACUCACUACCCUUGGUGAAUGCACAUAAAAAGCCUUUUAACAUCCUCAGAUGUAUGAAGGAGUGAGGAACAUCUUCCACUCUUGGCCAAGUUCUUUCCAAGAAAAUGAUCUCAUUUAUCUUGGUGAAAGGCUUAUUUUUAAAAUGCACAUUUCAUUUUCCAUUAUUUAAUAGACACAUAAUGUCUUGCAGCUUUCUUCUAAGUGAUUUCAUCCAUGGCGAUUAUACGUAUUGUUCCUAUUCAUAUAUGCACCUCGAUAAAUCUCUAUGUAUUUCUUUCAACACUGUGG